GACGAACGCUGGCGGCGCGCCUAACACAUGCAAGUCGAACGAGCGAGAGAGAGCUUGCUUUCUCAAGCGAGUGGCGAACGGGUGAGUAACGCGUGAGGAACCUGCCUCAAAGAGGGGGACAACAGUUGGAAACGACUGCUAAUACCGUAUAAGCCCACAGGUCGGCAUCGACCAGAGGGAAAAGGAGCAAUCCGCUUUGAGAUGGCCUCGCGUCCGAUUAGCUAGUUGGUGAGGUAACGGCCCACCAAGGCAACGAUCGGUAGCCGGACUGAGAGGUUGAACGGCCACAUUGGGACUGAGACACGGCCCAGACUCCUACGGGAGGCAGCAGUGGGGAAUAUUGCACAAUGGGGGAAACCCUGAUGCAGCGACGCCGCGUGGAGGAAGAAGGUCUUCGGAUUGUAAACUCCUGUUGUUGAGGAAGAUAAUGACGGUACUCAACAAGGAAGUGACGGCUAACUACGUG
rnacentral:rRNA from 1 species